rnacentral:lncRNA from 1 species
UGUUUAAUAUAAGGCAAGAUACAUAAAUGAAGGUGAAGUUGGAAAGAUGGCAAUUCGCCUGACAGCAGAGAGUGAGAAGGUUGGACCUAAACUCUGCAGGACAGUGGCCUUGCAGGAACAGGUUUAGACACCCCUGAUCUAAUCCCUUCACUCUUAAAAAUAAAUGAGCUUCACGAUGCCAUAGAAGAACCUUUUUUUUUUUUUGCUAAAUGGUUCCAUAAAGAAACUUUAACAUUUGAAGAACCUUUCUGUUUCACAAAAUGUUCUUUGUGGUGAAAUAAGGUUCUUCAGAGUAUAAAUAGGUAAGAAAGAGAUGGUUCUUUAAAGAACCUUUGACGGAAUGGUUCUUUGUGGAACCAAAAAUGGUUCUUCUAUGGCAUCGCUGUGAAGAACCUUUUAAGCACCUUUAUUUUUAAGGGUGUUGGGAGAUAGGAAGGCUGGGGAAGCUUCCUUUCUGAGACUUUAUGGACUACAUCCACCAUUGUGGGGAAUCUGUUCUCCCAAACUGACUCACAAGCUCACUGUCUUUCAGGCUGUGAGGCAGCAGUAAGUGCUGUUUGGUAUGUGUGUCUGACGGUUUUGUUUCUGUUUUCUGUAGAUGUUCCAGUACAUCGCUGCACCUCCUGAAUCUACAGACUCAUGCAGCAUCGCUGUCCAUUCUCUUCUCUCCUUUCAUUAUGUGCUCUCUCGAAUGAAAGAAAAACUACAGGGUUUCUGUAAAGAAAUAGAAAGGAUCUCUGACAGAGGUAUGCACACUAAAAAACAAAUGGUAGUCUACGUGACGUGACAGAACAUACAGUCAGUGCCGGCGACGUCACGAGCUCCCAGCGGCCAGACAACGAGCGCGCGAGCCAAGCUGAAGAGAAAUGCGCUGAAGGGAAGCGGAGAGAAGGACGCAGAAAGAAGAAACCGCUCAUCUGCUCAGAGAAUUCGGUAAGUUAUCACAUAUUUAAAAACUGUAUUUUUUUUCCGUGCGUGAUACAUAUUGGGUCAAGGUUGAGUCAGGAUUGAAGCCAAACUAAUAGAGUUUGGUUGAUUGUUAGGCUGCUGCUGUGGAUUGACAGCUUGACUCUUCUCUCUGAGCUUGGUUUAUUAAAGCGCAGUGAAGCUUGACAGCAUAUCAUAUCUG